GCCCCCGUAGCUCAGGGGAUAGAGCGCCGGUUUCCGGUACCGAAGGUCGCAGGUUCGAAUCCUGCCGGGGGCG
rnacentral:tRNA from 2 species